CCCGCACAAGCGAUGGAGCAUGUGGUUCAAUUCGAUGCAAAGCGAAGAACCUUACCAGGGCUUGACAUGCCGUGAAUCCUCCCGAAAGAGAGGAGUGCCUUCGGGAACACGGGCACAGGUGGUGUAUGGCUGUCAUCAUCUCGUACCAUAAGGUGUUGGGUUAAGUCCCGCAAUGAGUGCAACCCUCGUGUUUAGUUGCGAACAUUGAGUUUGGAACCCUGAACAGACUGUCGGUGAUAAGUCGAAGGAAGGUGAGGAUGACGUCAAGUCAUCAUGCCCCUUACGCCCUGGGCGACACACGUGCUACAAUGACCGGGAAAAAGGGUCACGACCCUGUGAGGGAAAGAUAACCUCAAAAACCUGGCCUCAGUUCAGAUUGCAGGCUACAACUCGCCUGCAUGAAGCCGAAAUCGCUAGUAAUCGCCGGUCAGCCAUAUGGUGGUGAAUCCGUUCCCGGGCCUUGUACACACCACCCGUCACACUAUGGGAGUUGGCCAUGCCCCAAGUCGUUACCUUAACCACAAGGAGGGGGAUGCCAAAGGCUGGGCUAGUGACUGGAGUGAAGUCGUAACAAGGUAGCUGUACUGGAAGGUGCAGCUGGAUCACCUCCUUU
rnacentral:ncRNA from 1 species